UCCCUGGUUGUCCAGUGGUUAGGACUCUGCACUUCCAACGCAGAGGACACAGAUUCAAUCCCUAGUUGGGGAA
rnacentral:tRNA from 1 species